rnacentral:rRNA from 1 species
UACGUAGGGGGCAAGCGUUGUCCGGAUUUAUUGGGCGUAAAGAGCGUGUAGGCGGCUAGGUAGGUCCGUUGUGAAAACUCGAGCUCAACCUCGAGACGCCGGUGGAAACCAUCUAGCUAGAGUCCGGAAGAGGAGAGUGGAAUUCCUGGUGUAGCGGUGAAAUGACGCAGAUAUCAGGAAGAACACCCGUGGCGAAGGCGGCUCUCUGGGACGUGACUGACGCUGAGACGCGAAAGCGUGGGGAGCGAACAGG